AGAGAGAGAGAGAGAGAGAGAGAGAGAGAGAGAUGCGCCCCUGUUUUCACAUUUCGUGAAAUAAAAUUAUCAUUUUUAUUCAAUUUUAUUCAAAUUGCAUUGUAUAUUUCUCAUUAUUUCAAAUUAUUACCAUUGUAAUAGUUUAGGGAUUUCCCCCUUAUUCAAUAUUCCUUCAUUUAAUCAGUUGUUUAUAAGUAUUCGAGAGUAAUAUACAGCAGGACAAUUUUUAAAAAAAACAUUUCAUAAAAUUCAGUAGCCAUUUUUGACGACUUUACAUACAUCAUAUUGACAAUAUAAAUUUGAUUUAAUAGUUAAUUUGAUUAUUAAGAUAUAUAGAAGUAACAUUUACACAGUCAUAUUAUGUCAUAUUCAAAUAUAUAUAAAUCAUUGUAUAUUUUGUACUAUCAAAAGUUUGCCAUAUUUGUAUUUAUUUUUCAAAUAAACAUGACUAAAAU
rnacentral:misc_RNA from 1 species